GUGGAUGGAUUUAAUUUAGAAAAAUGGCAAUAUUGGAUGUGAUAUAAGCUGUACAUGAGCAAGGGACGAAUUGUGAAGCAUCAGGUUCAGGGCUACGGAAUCAUCGGGAUCGAGCGGGAAGUUUGGAGAACAAGGAACUAUCGGGUUUUGUUACUCGAUUUCAUUAGUUCUCUAUUUUUUUCUCUUAUUUAGUAUCGAUGAAUUCUUGUUUGAAACUUUGUUUAUUUGUUUUUAAGACCAUGAUGACCGGCUAAACUUUUAAGCCACCUAGACUUAGUUGAAUGGAUUGAUUAAUGUUUUUACCGUUUUCGUUAUUUGCAUGAUUGUUAUGGGUGAUUGUGUUUAGUAAGCGGUUUGAUUUAAUGGUUUGAUGUGUAUGCGUGCUUUGAUUCGGUUUAUUGUUAUUAUUUGCUUCAUAUGAUUCUUAGUGACGGUCUAUAUCACAACAUAGAGUCAUAUUAGGGUUUAGGAUUUCGGUGAGUGUCUAUAUCACGUAAGAAAACCUUAACUCUUUAGGGAGAAUCGGCCGGUAAUCUCUAGAAGUAAAUGGUAAUAAUUUGCUAAGUCUUAGUGUUCUACUAGUCCUAAUACCUGGGAAGUGAGGGGCUAUUGGUAGGUCUUAUCCGGCGAAUUGCUUUAGAUAGUCCUUGGGAAAGGUCAUGUCUUGGUUUACCAGUCGGUUUUAUUAGUCUAUCAAGUCAAAUUAAUUAAUCCAAACUACCCUAGAUCUAUGAUUGGGAAAGAGUAGGUCAACAUUAGUGUACUUACACAAUAAUUAGACAACUGGGAAGGCGUCUAAUAACCGGUAGGAUUAACGACCUAGGUAGUUCCACAGGUUUCUCCUUGAGAAGGGUCGAGGGGCUUAGUUGGUUCUUAAUAGGUUUAGUAUUAUAAGAUCUCGGUUCCAUAACUCACGCAUUUAACUUAAUCGGUAAUCUCUUAAAAACGAUCCAGGAUUCUUGUCUAGGUGGUCUCGUCUCUCAUAUAAGAAUCGUCUUUGUUUUCCUUCGUAUUUAGUCUAGUUUUAGUUAAUUAAUUAGUUUAAAUAGAUUUCCUUAGUUUUUCAGUAACCCCCCCCCCCCAACCAAUUAAACAGUUAGAGUCUGUGUCAGUCCAGGUCUAGAUAGAGUCUAAUUAGCGUAAUUAGAGAGUCUCGUGGGUUCGAUACUCGGACUUACUGUAGCUAUACUGCAUUGAUCGGUACACUUGCCGGUUGCGUGGUUUAGUUUUAGAUCGAGUCUAAGUUUAUAAAUUUAAAGCUUAGAGUGUCUAGAUUAGGUUAAUUUAGUACUUUUUAUUUAACCACUUUUAGCACAUCAAGUUUUUGGCGCCGUUGCCGGGGACUCUUGGCGAUUGCGUUUAUUAGCUUUGACUGGACUUAAUUGACAUUAUACGUGCUACUUGUUUUUUGUAUAUUGAGUCGUAGGUGCCUAAUUGUCUGUGUCUUUUAUUUUUCUUGAGUCUUGUGAAUAUGUGUGAAAUUUGUGAAGGACCUCAUUUUACUGUUAAGUGCCCACAAUAUGAGGGGUCCUCUGCACAUUAUUAUGCUAACCCCUAUGUGCAGCCGCAGUCAUAUUUUUCAUAUGGGUAUCCUUCGUACCAGUAUGAGGAACCGUAUCACCAGCCCCAACAACAAAAUUCUAAAGUCUAUGAGCAGGAACAACUGGAUAGGAUAAUGGGGAUGUUAGUUCAACUAGUAGCUACGAAUGAGACUACUCAGAAAAUGAUUCAAGAACAUGAAGUCCUGCUUCAAAAUCAGCAGUCUAUACUCUCAGACAUUCGAUGUUCAGUAUAAGAAAUGUCUAGGAAAUUAGAAGAAGUAGAAGAAACUAAGAAUAAGGGCAUCAUUGAUUUUGGUUGUGAAGAAGAGGAGAUUAUGAUGCAAAUGGCUAAUUGCAGGAUAUUGAGAGAGAGUGUGGAAGAAGUAGAUGAGUGGCAAGUCUACCAGGAAUCAUUAGUUAAGGAAGUAGAUGUUGAAGAGGAAUUAGAUUUAGGAGAUUCCUUAGGUAGUCUAUUUGAUGAUGAGGUAGAAGUUGAGGUAGAGAAAAAAGUGUUAAUUUGGGAAGAUGAGUUUUUAGGGAGUUAGAAGGUUUAUCAGAAUCUGAACAAGUAGGGGAAUUUGAUCCAUUAGGUGAUUUAGCAAAUUUGGAAGCCCUACUAGAAGGUAAACCCGAGAAAAUAAGUGAACCCACACCGCACGUAGAAAUUAAGUGUGGGGAUCUUCCCAAGGAAGUAGAGAGAAUGGUGGAAGAUGAAGAACAUCAUAGCUGGCCCGUGGUAGAGGUAACUUAAGAUUUAAGGCCACGGUAGAGGGCAAGAAAGAAAGAACCUGGAAACCGGAGAUGGUUUUGGGUCGGAAGAUGGGCGAAACAGAAAAUGGAGCAAUUAAAGUGCAAGCACGACUGCUAUUAUCGUUACAUGCCACGCAUCCGGUCCAUUCCAGGUUUGGAUUGUACCACCCGUACUCAAUCUCCAUUCGGGUGAUUUCGGAGCUGCCAUAUUGAUACAACCCAAGCAGACUAGGCAACGAUCGCGAAGGAAAUGCUAUACGAUCGUUCGUUGGAUUAAAGACUCAUACAGCUGGCACUGACUUUUGUCCUAACCAGCUAAGUCUUUUCCAAUUCUCUCUGUUAUUUAUUUCUUAUUUAUUUUUAGUUUCCGUCUCUGCAUUGGGGACAAUGCAAAUCUCAAGUGUGGGGAUGGGUAACUGCUUUUUAGGUUAGUUUGAGUCAUAAAAAUUUAAAAAACAAAAAAAAAAUUGAAAAAAUCCAAAAAAAAAAUUGAAAGAAUCAGAAAAUGUCUUUCGAAUAAAAAGAAGUUUGCAAUUAAAACGGAAAAUGAUAGAAAAGAUGAAUUUUUAUUUGGGUUCAAAUAAUAAUAAUAUAAGAUUAAAUAAGUCGAGCUUGUGUCUAGUUUGGGAUAUGUGAAUAGGCCCGGGUUUGGUUUUAGGUCCCUUUGAUUUAAUAUACCUUAAUUGUCGGUCUACUAGUGGGUUUUCGCCUGGGAGAUAUGGGAAAUCAAAACUGCCAAUAAGAGUAUAAGGGACACCGUUACAAGUUAAAAACGUUAGAGUUUGUGAUCGUGCGAAAAAAAAAUGAUGAGCUAGAAACUAAAUGAAAGUAGCGCAUUCCUAUGUAGUCUGGGUUGGGGACAGUAACUCUACAGCCGGAUUACCGCUAGGGUGUGUGAAAUCGAUUGUGCAAAGAAAAGAAAAUGUACCGAAGCUUAAGUAAUCCGAGUUGGGGAUAGCGACUCUACAGCCGGAUUGCCUCUUAGUUAGGGAAAGCAACGUCUAGGCUCAUUGAAAAAAAAAAGAAGGGAAAAAAAAAGAAAAGCGGAAAAAAUGGAAAAAGAAAAAAUUUUUGAUUGUAAACUCUAUUGGUUUUGAUAUAAGACGGUUGGGAAUUGGUCCAAUGAUCGUUCCUUUAGUCCUCUAAGCUUGAGGCAGGAUUAGGUGGACCGUAAAUUCUAGCGUGAGACCCUAGGUAGACUGACCGCAAUUAAAUUAAAUUCACAUGAUAAGGGCUUGAGACCGGAUUUUGGUUUAAAGGGACAAGUAUAUUCACAAUCGCGGCUAAUGCAAGUUUUGGUUUUAAUAAAACAUAAAUAUACUUUUGACCCGAGUGAUUAUUUAUCUCUGAUUUCGUUGCGUAAUUCUUUUUCGAGGACGAAAAAAGGUUAAGUGUAGGGAUAUUUGAUAUGGGGUAAAAUACACAUAUUUGUCUCGUGUAAAUUGUAUAAUUUUUGUAUAGUUUUAAUUUGUUUUUAUUUAGUUUCUAGUAGUAUAUUAUAUUCUUUUGUGUUUUGGCAGAUCCUGGUGUAAAUGGAGCAAAAACGAGUAAUAUGGAAAUGACCAGACAGUUGGGCAGAGUGAUGUCAGUGACUAAAUUGAAAUUGCCGCUAUUUUCUGUGAUUGGGCCGAGCUUGUUUAUCUCUAUAUUAUUAAAGUUGAAGGGCCAAAUUACAAUUAAAGGAAAGUUGGUUUAAAAAUAAGUCAGGACAUAAGUGUACAUGAGCUGGAAGUUCUAAUUAAUUCUUCUCUACAAAAGACAAUAAAUGUACAUUCUUUGGCUUCCUGUUGUUGACCGAUUUUAGGAUGGCCAAUAUUGGAUUAUUAUAAAAGAAAGAGGAAAUUUGUGUGGAUGGAUUUAAUUUAGAAAUAUGGCAAUAUUGGAUGUGAAAUAAGCUGUUGGAGGUUUUGAGUAGUGGGCCGCCCAAAAAUCAGUAAUUCUUGUGAUCGUAAAUGGGCCAUUUAUCAAGAUGUUUUGCGAUUACCAUAGUCAAUAUCAACAUCAGAGGCGACCAUAUAUUUUUAAUAUAUAGAUACGGCGGUUUUAGAGGGCGGAACAUUAGAGGACUGCCAUUACAACAUCAGAAUAUCAGACGCAAGGCAGGAGCAAGGGACGAAUUGUGAAGCAUCAGGUUCAAGGCUACGGAAUCAUCGGGAUCGAGCGGGAAGUUUGGAGAACAAGGAACUAUCGGGUUUUGUUACUCGAUUUCUUUAGUUCUCUAUUUUUUUUUUCUCUUAUUUAGUAUCGAUGAAUUCUUGUUUGAAACUUUGUUUAUUUGUUUUUAAGAGCUUGAUGAUCGGCUAAACUUUUAUGCCACCUAGACUUAGUUGAAUGGAUUGAUUAAUGUUUUUACCGUU